rnacentral:ncRNA from 1 species
UUAUGAACAUAUUCAUACUAUUACAGCUAAUGCCCCAUUAUAUGGCCUUGCUAUUUCAUUGAAUGGUUAAAUGGUUGCCAAAACCGGAUUACUCUGGUACAUGUCGGGGCGCAAGAUCACUUGCAGACGACUUGAUUACUGGUCAAGGUGUUGUAAGCAGUAGAGCAGCCUCCAUACUGCGAUCUGUUGAGACUUAUCCUUUGAUUGGACGAUUUGU